rnacentral:rRNA from 1 species
AUUGAACGCUGGCGGCAGGCCUAACACAUGCAAGUCGAGCGGAUGACGGGAGCUUGCUCCUUGAUUCAGCGGCGGACGGGUGAGUAAUGCCUAGGAAUCUGCCUGGUAGUGGGGGACAACGUUUCGAAAGGAACGCUAAUACCGCAUACGUCCUACGGGAGAAAGCAGGGGACCUUCGGGCCUUGCGCUAUCAGAUGAGCCUAGGUCGGAUUAGCUAGUUGGUGAGGUAAUGGCUCACCAAGGCGACGAUCCGCAACUGGUCUGAGAGGAUGAUCAGUCACACUGGAACUGAGACACGGUCCAGACUCCUACGGGAGGCAGCAGUGGGGAAUAUUGGACAAUGGGCGAAAGCCUGAUCCAGCCAUGCCGCGUGUGUGAAGAAGGUCUUCGGAUUGUAAAGCACUUUAAGUUGGGAGGAAGGGCAGUAAGUUAAUACCUUGCUGUUUUGACGUUACCGACAGAAUAAGCACCGGCUAACUCUGUGCCAGCCGCCGCCGUAA